GCCUGAUGGAGGGGGAUGACUACUGGAAACGGUAGCUAAUACAGCAUAACGUCGUAAGACCAAAGAGGGGGACCUUCGGGCCUCUUGCCUUCGGAUGUGCCCAGAUGGGAUUAGCUAGUAGGUGGGGUAACGGCUCACCUAGGCGACGAUCCCUAGCUGGUCUGAGAUGA
rnacentral:rRNA from 1 species